GAGUUUGAUCCUGGCUCAGGACGAACGCUGGCGGCAUGCCUAAUACAUGCAAGUCGAGCGGAGUUGAUGGAGUGCUUGCACUCUUAAUACUCAGCGGCGGACGGGUGAGUAACACGUAGGUAACCUGCCUGUAAGACUGGGAUAACUACCGGAAACGGUAGCUAAUACCGGAUAAUACAUUUCCCCUCAUGAGGAGAUGUUGAAAGGCGGAGCAAUCUGUCACUUAUAGAUGGGCCUGCGGCGCAUUAGCUAGUUGGUGAGGUAACGGCUCACCAAGGCGACGAUGCGUAGCCGACCUGAGAGGGUGAACGGCCACACUGGGACUGAGACACGGCCCAGACUCCUACGGGAGGCAGCAGUAGGGAAUCUUCCGCAAUGGACGCAAGUCUGACGGAGCAAUGCCGCGUGAGUGAUGAAGGUUUUCGGAUCGUAAAGCUCUGUUGCCAGGAAGAAGAUUCAGGAGAGUAACUGCUCCUGGAGUGACGGUACCUGAGAAGAAAGCCCCGG
rnacentral:rRNA from 1 species